ACCAUAAAACGCCUAGGGCUGACUGGCAUUUGGGUAAACGAGAAAGAAUUGUAAUUUUACCAAAAUAAAGUUUUAAGUACGUAUUAAUAAUGAUAAUAUGUAUAAAAGUCUUGACCAAUUACGUGCCAGCAGUCGCGGUAAUACGUAGGAGACGAGCAUUAUUCAUAUUAAAUAGGUUUAAAGGGUACCCAAACGGUCAAAAUACCUUAAAUAAAGGAGUACUUGACUAGAGUUAUAUGUGAGAAGACCGUACUUGAGGUGGAGAGAUUAUAUUCUGUGAUACCAAAAGGACUGAUAAAGGCGAAGGCUGUCUUUUAUGUAAUAACUGACGUUGGAGGACGAAGGCAUAGAGAACUAACAGGAUUUGACACCCUAGUAGUCUUUGCAGACAAUGAUGAAUGCCAUGAACUAGAAAGGAAAUCCUUUUUAGUUUUAUAAAUGAAAAUGAAAGCAUUUCACCUCAAGAGUAAUGUGGCAACGCAGGAACUGAAAUCACUAGACCGUUUCUGACACCAGUAGUAGAGUAUGUUAUUUAAUUCGAUGAUCCCCCAGGGAAAG
rnacentral:rRNA from 1 species